UGGUUCUGGCAUCGAUGAAGAACGCAGCAAAAUGCGAUAAGUAAUGUGAAUUGCAGAAUUCAGUGAAUCAUCGAAUCUUUGAACGCACAUUGCGCCCCUUGGUAUUCCGAGGGGCAUGCCUGUUCGAGCGUCAUUAAAACCUUCAAGCUCUGCUUGGUCUUGGGAGCGGCCUUGCGGCCCUCCCCUAACUCUUCGGCGGUACCUGGAGGCCUCAAGCGUAGCAAGAAUUUUCCCUCGCUUCGGGAGCCUCCUGGCACCUGCCGUGCAAGACAAUUACCUUUAUUUGACCUCGGAUCAGGUAGGGAUACCCGCUGA
rnacentral:misc_RNA from 1 species